UACGUAGGGUGCAAGCGUUGUCCGGAAUUAUUGGGCGUAAAGAGCUCGUAGGCGGUUUGUCGCGUCGGCUGUGAAAUCCCGAGGCUCAACCUCGGGUCUGCAGUCGAUACGAGCAAACUAGAGUGUUGCAGGGGAGACUGGAAUUCCUGGUGUAGCGGUGAAAUGCGCAGAUAUCAGGAGGAACACCCGUGGUGCAGACGGCUUGCUGGACCGUGACUGACGCUGAGGCACGAAAGCGUGGGUAGCAAACAGG
rnacentral:rRNA from 1 species